GUACGUCGCCGCCGUAGUCGCACACGCCAUGUUUUCGUCAUUUCUGCUCAGUUAAUUAACAAAAAAGUAGUCGAUAAUUUGAGCGGUUGCAUGGACGGCGUUUGACCAAUGUUGCUACGUUCACUUAGAAGUCAUCUGUGAUAAAAGGCCAGCUCAGUUCAAAGGCUGAGGCCAAAGGCAACGUGACUCGUCGCAUGUCGUUUUUUUGAAGGAUGCUAAAAGCCCCCGCAAAGCCUGUCAAUCAAAUCAAUUUAGCAUGGAGGCCAGCCGACGAACUUGGAAGUGACGCAUCAAGGCCUGCUGAGCUGGGAACCUUGCAAAGCGGGGGAGAUCAAGCUUCCAGCUCCAACCGUAAAUUCCUAACCGUGAAGUCUUAUCAGCACCAGGGACAACGGACUAAUUCAGACUUAAGGAUUUGGAUGUGGCGGGAAAUUGCAAGCUGCCCUUUGUAUUAGGUGAGUACUUUUACUUUAGUUUUAUUCAACAAAUUCAUUUACUUUACUUUGUAUGCUUUAGGGAUAAUUGAUUUGAAUUGGAAACAACUUGGAAUCUACCAUGUUGGUCUUUAGAGCUACCAGGGUUGUUAAGUCAAGUUCCCUAAACUGAUCCCUACACUGUAAAGGUCCCUAAACGGUUCCCCCAUGCCUACACUGCAAAGUGAAUGGCAUCCACAUCACCUUUAGUUCCCUAAACUGUCCCCCCAUACCUACACUGUUAUCUAAAUGGCAUCCACACCAUCUUUAGUUCCCUAAACUGACUGUUCCCCAUGCCUACACUGCAAAGUGAAUGGCAUCCACACUAACAUUAGUUCCCUAAACUGUUCCCACAUGCCUACACUGUAAAAUGAAUGGCAUCCACACCGCCUUUAGUUCCCUAAACUGUCCCCCAUGCCUACACUGCAAAGUGAAUGGCAUCCACACCGCCUUUAGUUCCCUAAACUGACUGUUCCCCAUGCCUACACUGCAAAGUGAAUGGCAUCCACACCGCCAUUAGUUCCCUAAACUGUCCCCCCAUGCCUACACUGCAAAGUGAAUGGCAUCCGCACCGCCUUUAGGUCCCUAAACUGUUCCCCAUGCCUACACUGGAAAGUGAAUGGCAUCCACUUCACCUUUAGUUCCCUAAACUGACUGUUCCCCGUGCCUACACUGCAAAGUGAACGGCAUCCACAUCGCCUUUAGUUCCCUAAACUGUUCCCCCAUGCCUACACUGCAAAGUGAAUGGCAUCCACACCACCUUUUAGUUCCCUAAACUGACUGUUCCCCCAUGCCUACACUGCAAAGUGAAUGGCAUCCACACCACCUUUUAGUUCCCUAAACCGUUCCCACAUGCCUACACUGUAAAGUGAAUGGCAUCCACACCGCCUUUAGUUCCCUAAACUGUCCCCCAUGCCUACACUGCAAAGUGAAUGGCAUCCACACUGCCAUUAGUUCCCUUAACCGUUCCCCAUGCCUACACUGCAAAGUGAAUGGCAUCCACACCGCCUUUAGUUCCCUAAACUGACUGUUCCCCCAUGCCUACACUGCAAAGUGAAUGGCAUCCACACUGCCAUUAGUUCCCUUAACCGUUCCCCAUGCCUACACUGCAAAGUGAAUGGCAUCCACACCGCCUUUAGUUCCCUAAACCGUUCCCACAUGCCUACUGUGUUAUGUAAACUGCAUCCACACACCCCUUUCCUUAACUGUUCCCACAAGACUACACUGUUGGAAAAAAUGCAUCCACACGGCCCUGCAUUCCCUACAGUGUUCCCACAGGAUGUGAAAUCCACACGGCCCUCGGUGUGAUUCAUGAGAGACGUGGCCUCUCUCCUUGUCCCCGUCAUUACCUGCAGUUCCAUCUUAUCUCUCAGGGGUCAGACCUCGCCCCCCCCUCCGCUCCCCCUAGUGCCAUUUACAUGCAUAUACGUAGAGAGGGAUGUGUGGGGGCAAUUAUCCUUGGCUAAAAAAAAACUGUGUUGUUGCUCCACUGGAGUCUCUCCAAGAGCAGCAGACUGCCAGUCCUCUCUGCUGUCUUAUCAUCCAUAAAGAUGAAAUGAUGGCCAUCAUUAGCGGGCGCCACUAAACGUGUCAUCAUAACACGCCCUUAUGAGCGUACAGGUGACUCCCGGGUUUGUCCGCUAACUUCUGGCUCCCGACCCCUCCCUCAACUGGCUUUCUAACGGCGUUCUGUAGACAGAAGCCAAGUCAAACGUCCGUAAGUAAGAACCCGGGUCACGGUCUGCUGCGUCCCGGCGCUCCCCUCCCUGAAUGCCUUCACGCAGAGAGGCCUUCAAGUGCACACGUGUCAACAUGGAGAUGACUACAAACCAGCGGAAUGAAUGAAUGAAUGAAAAUGAAUGGGCGCUCUCAGACAAAAGCCUUGAUUCAUGCCCGCCACAGAGGUCCUCAUUAGGGAGGACUGGGGGAAGCUCGGCCCAGUCGGAGCAAUUAGCGGGCCUUGUUUAGGUCACAUGUUGUUUGGGUGGAUGGGAGGACGCCGGCUUCGAACUGUGCAGAAAUAGAUGAUGCACUCGCGUCACUGCCACUUCCUUGCCUCCGUGCUCAAAGUGCUUGGGAUUCGUGGGAUUCGAUUGGUCUGCUGCGUUCACGUCGAAGGCGUGCGCUGCUUGGGGAAACUAAAACGACUACAUUAACUUUAGUUAGUGCCGCAAAGCAUGCUGGGGAGCCAGCGAGGCACUCAGUAAAGUAACUACUAUUCCUAAAUGUCACUUUCAAAACUUUCCAGUCAGAAAUUCAUAAUUAAUAUGAAUUUGAGAGGGGAGGGGGGGGUGUCCACGAAGCAAGUCACUGCCUGGGUGUCACUUUCAGAUAAGAUAAUUAAAAAUAAUUAUUUUUAGUAGAACUUAAGUAGAUUUUGUGCAAAAAAUGUUUCAUGUAAUUAGUACUAAAAAGAUACAUAAAUUUAAUCUGUAUUAAAAAUAAAUAGUCUUUUCUCACAAUCUGGGGUCAUAUUAAAAUUUUCUGUGACAUUAUUUAUUUUUAGGGUAUUUUUAAAAAUGUAAUCAUAAAUUUAAUAUACAUACAUUUCAUUAAAUUUGCAUGUUUGCUUAUAUUUUAUCAAAUUGAAGAUACAUAAAUUUAAUAUGUAUUAAAAAUAAAUAAUAGUCUUUACUCACAAUCUGGGGUCAUAUUAAAAUUUUCUGUGAAUUGUUUUAUUUUUAGGGUAUUUUAAAAAAUGGUAUCAAAUUGAAGAUACAUAAAUUUAAUCUGUAUUAAAAAUAAAUCGUCUUUUCUCACAAUCUGGGGUCAUAUAAAAAUUUUCUGUGACAUUUUUUAUUUUUAGGGUAUUUUUUAAAAUGUAAUCAUAAAUUUAAUAUACAUACAUUUCAUUAAAUUUGCAUGUUUGUUUAUACAAAAGUAUACGACAAAUGGACUGCCAAUUACAGAUAAGGCUGAUUAGCAUUAAAGCUACAGACACAUACAUUUAUUAUUAUUAUUAUUAUUAAAGGAAACCAACCCAAGCACUUUGGCGACAGAGGCAAGGAAAAACUCCCCGCAUGUUUGUCAACAAAUCUCUGUAACCCAUGGCAACAGGGGUCAGGUGUCACCCAUGGCGACAGCCACAGUUUACAUUCCUCAUAUAGAUGAGAUGGAGGCGGGGAUUCCCUACCAGCCGUCGCCUCGACAACCAGGACGCAAAGCGCUUAAAUCCAACCAACGUCCCAUUUGUGUCUACGAUGCAUCGCCACGCCCCAGGUGCGCUGAUGGACCCCUCCUCCACGGAUACAUCCGUGUGGACGAGCACACGGCGAGAUCUCCAUGUAAGGCGCGGUGCACGGACUUUGAGUGGCCUGUGGUGGCCCAAAGUGCCAUCGGGGGUCACAGUGAUUGUGAAACAUGCGGGCGUGAUGCAAGGAAGCCAAGCGGGCCCACCAAGCAGGGAGGAGGGAAGAAAAACACACUCCUCCCUUUUCUGUGGCUGUAUUGUCUCCUUUUGAGGCAACACACACACACACACACACAACACACACACUCCAAGAGGUGCGGCAGGAGAAGACCUGGGAGUGUGAUCUAAGGUGCCAUGGAGGAAUUUGAGGUCCGGAGGGGCUGCGGGACCUCCUUCCCGUGGUGGUGAUUAAGCUUCACGAUGGCUUCCACUGUGGAGUUUGCCUACUCGCUGCUGCUGCUUUGCAGCCUGGGAACCAAUCACGUGAUCUCCGGAGGCUGUUUGGGCAAAUGCUGCGGCGGCGGCGGCACCAGAGACAUGAGGUGCACCUCCACGGACUGGAGGAUGGACCGCGGCUACGGGACGUGCUACUGCGACGAGGGCUGCGCCGGGACCAAAGACUGCUGCUUGGACUACUUCACGCUCUGCCCAGCUCAGGCCUGCACAGUGAGCCCUUGGAGCUUCUGGAGCGGCUGUGCCGAGGCGUGCCGGCCUUCCUUACGGCUCAGAAUCCGUCACGUGGAGGAGCGGCCCAGCAACAAUGGAGAGCCCUGCCCCGCCCUGGAGGAAAAGGCCGGCUGCAUGGACUACAGAGACCACCAAGGUCACGCAUGUGGAAUCAGCUCGGGUCCUGCAUUCAUCACCAGCAUGGAGUUUGGCAAAGGGAGGCCCAAGCAUGACAACUAUGGACGUCCUCUUCAUCCUGGUUUCUGUGUGGAAUUCUCCCUGGAGUCGCGCUCCCCCCACUGCACAGUGGAGAACAGGCCCCACACAUACUGGAUGCGCUACUUUACAGAAGGCUUUACGGUGUGUGUGGCGUGCAAUCCGCCCGCCCUGAGCAACAGCAGCGGCGGUUGCCAAGGAGACGGGCAGGAAACGGACAGCGAGGCGGUGCUGCGCUGGCAGGCGGUGGGGAACCCUCGAUGCAGCGGCACGUGGAGGAGGAUCCGGAAAACGCAACGCUGCAACUGCCCGCCGCAGCACAGUUUCGUCUUCAUUUGAUCAACAAGCACUUCUCUACUCUCAUUGGGUACUUUAAGGUUUGGAGUGUGUAAAAAAAAAAAAAAAAACCCAACCAUGACGUUAACACUAAGCAUGGUGCCGGUGCGGCCCUCGAAGUCGUCAUCCAACAGAAUUCGAGACCACUUACCCACGCCGUGACGCUUGACGCCAUCUUUGAGUUUCUUGUCCAAUUCAUAGGUCCAUUUCUUAAAAAAAAACAAAAAGAAUAAAUACCAAAAUAGAGCAGUGUAUUUGUAAAUGCAGGUUAUGGGGCCGCCUUCCAAACUCACCGUAUGUGUCUUCCUUUUUUUGAGAACUGAAGUAUUUGUGCUGUCUGGAAUCGGAGAAAUAAAAGACGCUUUAGACGACAACCAAACAGGACAACGAGAUGCAACGUCUACCUUUUAAAGUCGCUGGUCUGGUGCACAUUUUACUCUCACCUUGUCCUUCCCACACGUCUGCUUUUGUGGACAGAAGUUUACGUUUAGACCUGCUGGGGAAAAAAACAAACAAACAAUUGAAAGCGCACGCCAUCUAGUGGACAUUAAAUGUAAAACAGUGUACAAAUACUGUCCUUCAGCCCGUUCCUGCCUGAUAAGAGUGUCAUUAUUCAUACCGGGUAUCAUCUGUCUGUGGGAGCGGCUCGUCCUCUGGAGCGUCGACAUUGGGUUUUUCCUUGCUGGUGGUCCUGGUGUUUCUUUCCAGCAACCCUGUGAGCAAAAUGUUUACCCUCAUUCAAGUUCAGACUUGAGUGAAAUGUACUACCUUGCGCUGAUGUACUCGGAAGACAGAUGUACGCGUUCUUCAAGGCGGGCUGAAGAUUGUGUUUUGUUCUGCUGGGACAGUGCAAUACAUCAACAACUACACCGGUCACAUAAAACACUUAUUUCCUACUUUGUCUCCUCCUUCUGCGAGUCGUCGACCUUC